rnacentral:lncRNA from 1 species
GUCUGAGCCUCGCGAUGUCCCCCGCGCUGUUCCUCCCCUCUUCGUCUCCCUCUUCGGUGUUCUGGGUCCCAGAAACCAGGUUAUCACGGUGGCCUGGACCAUAGGGAAAUUGCCGAAUCAUCCAGUUGGGAUCACCGAGCCUGCAGGGGGGUACCCUUCCUAGGCGAGCCUCCUGGCCCCUUGCUAUGGGAGGCCCGGACACCCCCGCCAGGGACCCAGCGACCCAGCAAGUCCCCACCUCCUCUAAGGGCGACCUGGGCCUCGGGGUGAGAGGUCUCCUACACCAAAAAGGCUGCCGCCCCUCAAUCCUAGACCCCGAGAUGCCUUUCACCUGGGAAAUCUCGUAAUGGCACCCAUUGUCAUUUUGAUUUUUAUGCCGAAUUUCUAGCUCCUACGUCUCCAUUGCCGGUCCUAACAGUCGCUGUUUCACUAAGCUUUGGAACCUGACUCCGAGAAAUGUAUUCGUUCGUCCCAAGAUCUCAGCCAGAAGGAGAAAUCCGCGCGGCGGCCUCUUCUAGCUCGCGGGCUGGGAGGCCCCGUCCUGAUCCUCGGCGGCCCCGGCCAACCUCCCUCAGGGUCACGGGGAAGAGGAACCUGAGCAGCUCUGAGGGGCGAGUCUCUGACGGUGGGGCUCCCCCUCGUCCUGCCAGGACCCUGCCCCAAGGAGAAGACCCCUUAGGACGUUACCAGAGUUAAAAAAUGUUUUCUCCUGCUCUUCAGAGCACUUGGGAUAAGGCUCCCGAUGGGUCUUGGGAGCAAACUAACAUUUCGCUCCAGGCGCUCAGGACCAUCCCUCUGAUUUUCAUAUUUUGGGGCUGAGAGUGUUUAAGAAGGACUGAAAAACACUGCAGUCUUUGAGAGGCUAAGUUUGGAGGAUGAGGGCCUGGGAGAGGGUGCCUUCUUGGCUCCUUGGAGUGGACUGGCAGCUGGCCAGGACAUAGUCAGUAUCUACUGAUACCUUGAACACCUUGGCUGUGUUAACUGUUUUGACCCAACAUGGAGCCAAGAUGUUGGUUGUACCUUGAGAUGCUGACAUCUGGCUGAAGUCCAGGGUCUCGGGCCCAGGACAGGUCAUUCAGCUGUUUGAAAAAAACAGAAGAGAGACCAGGCCAUCCACUGAGGUCAUCUCCAUGCAGCAUGGACCACUGGUUCCAAUGAACCCACCAUCACCAUGCUUCUCAGGAAUCGCUGGUCACUAGACUGAGAGUUCUGUGAAAGCUGAGAUCAUAUCUUACUGAUCUCUGUGUUCAUGGUCCCCAGCUCAGGGUCUAGCACUGAGGGAGUUCUCAGGAGAGUGUUCAUCAAUUAUUGAACAAAAGCAAUUGCAAACCUC